AUUGAACGCUGGCGGCAUGCCUUACACAUGCAAGUCGAACGGUAACGCGGGGCAACCUGGCGACGAGUGGCGAACGGGUGAGUAAUGCAUCGGAACGUGCCUGGUAGUGGGGGAUAACUGCUCGAAAGAGCAGCUAAUACCGCAUACGACCUGAGGGUGAAAGGGGGGGAUCGCAAGACCUCUCGCUAUCAGAGCGGCCGAUGUCGGAUUAGCUAGUUGGUGGGGUAAAGGCCCACCAAGGCGACGAUCCGUAGCUGGUCUGAGAGGACGACCUGCCACACUGGCACUGAGACACGGCCCAGACUCCUACGGGAGACAGCAGUGGGGAAUUUUGGACAAUGGACGCAAGUCUGAUCCAGCCAUGCCGCGUGCGGGAAGAAGGCCUUCGGGUUGUAAACCGCUUUUGUCAGGGAAGAAAUCUUCUGGACUAAUACUCUGGGAGGAUGACGGUACCUGAAGAAUAAGCACCGGCUAACUACGUGCCAGCAGCCGCAGUAAAAC
rnacentral:rRNA from 1 species